rnacentral:lncRNA from 7 species
GGGAUCUGUCGCAGAAGUUCGUCAUCUGCGCUGUCGUUCGGGUCGAGAAAAGCAAUGUAGAAGCUUCGUGAUUGCGUGUGGGAGCUUGGGAGGGCAUUGUCUGGCGAGGGCUCGGUCGACUUUAGCCAGAAUUGCUCAUCGGCGUUCCAAACUCGCUGUCGAUCGCUCUCCGGCAUGGCCAGCAUCCUCCACUACGAUCGCUCGGGUAAGAACACCUCCCUACCAUUCUAUCUGUCCUUAGCUUCACGUAGAACUAGUCAGGGUUUGUUUUAGAGCACAGUAGGAGCAGGGGCGUGUAUCUUCGGCGAUCUGUCACCGUGAGGGGCACGGGCGCCACCGGUCUUACCGUCGAGGAUGGGGAGACAGCCUUGGUCGUUGGAUCCUGUAUCAACGGGUGGGAUUAGAAGCUUGUGCCCCACCUUCGUGUUUUUGAUCUGACCCAUUGGAUCAGAGUCGGACGAAGGGGGUUAAUCGAUGGCGUGGCUGAACCUCGACCACAGAUCCAGGAUCCAAUGGCGGAGAGCUCGUACCGGUUCAGGUUUUAUGAAGAUCCCGGGCCAUCGGAGUGUGAUCGGGCGGUCCAUAAUGAAACGUACCCCUUCACCGUGAACGAAUUGCAAAAGAGUCCUCACGUUUGUUUUAAAUCAAUCUGCCAUCCCCCGCGGUGGGAAGACCUUACUUUUAGGUCCCUGGGUUUUCACAAAACCAUCCCUGGAGUAUAUUUCAGGCAUAAAAA